ensembl:lncRNA
CAGCCUGAGCGGGGGGGUACCUGUAACUUUCUUCUGCCGCCGUCUUUGCGGGUUUUCCGUCUCAUACGCGCAACACUGUAGCCGGAGAGGCGCGCGCUCGAGGAGCCCCGCAUCGUGCAGAUACGCGCAGCGCUCCAACUCGAGACCACCCACGACCCCUGCCUCGGAGGAGCCGCAGGAGCUCACCGCGUGGACUCAAGACACCCGCAGGGGGAGCGGUUUGAUUUCCCCACCGCCGGCCACCGGACCAACUGGGAUUGUAACACCCCGCCCCGCUGGGAUUUCUGCCAUGUCAGGUGCACGGGACUGCAGAUGGGCCGUCCUCGUCUCUGUGGCGGCGCUUUCGUGUGGUAAGUCAUAUAAAUGCAAUCACUUUCAGGGAACUGCCCACAUGUUUGACACGUCUUAUAUGAGGGGAACCAUAAUGUAAUGGACGACCUCCAUAAUGAGGUCUCACACACACACACACACACACACACACCGUGGUUUAACCUUGACAGAGGAACCGGUAGCCGGAGAGCGCGGAUGGAUUACAUGCAAUCAGCGGCGGCGGUUGAAAGGGUUGUUUGGCGGCGACACGUUUAAUCAAUCUCAUUGGCCAUAACCAAGAAAAGCUCAGCGAGCGAGCGAGGGUCGGCCCCUCGCGGGCCAGAGGUCACGUUUCAUGCUGACGGGAGGAGAGAUUACGCUCCACAACCUCCCCCCCCCGGCCCCCCUUUCGUGAACGUGGAAAUUGGGUAUAAAAUAACUGGUUGUUCCAGGCUGUAACAGAUGGCUCCAGUUCAACGAGAAGUUCUCCCCCGAUUUCCAAGUUGGCGAGCGGAGUCCGUGGUUGGGGUCCCUUCUGCACCAAACCCCUCGUUUGGAGGGUCCUUCGUCUCCACGGGACCCCCCCUCCUGCACACGGCCCCGGUCUAACAACAGUGUCUGUCGGCGCUGUGACUGUGGGCACGAGAUGGGAGCUUCUUGAAAUGAACAGAUUUG